GGCUGCCCUCCAGUGUGCUGUCAGGGGUCCCCUGUCCCCUCAGCCAGAGCAGGAGGCCCAGAUUAGGCUUGAGGAUGCUCGUCGGGCUGCCAUGAGCCGGCGGCCUCGUUUUCCUGCCUCACACACCA